AACGCUGGCGGCAUGCCUUACACAUGCAAGUCGAACGGCAGCACGGGGGCAACCCUGGUGGCGAGUGGCGAACGGGUGAGUAAAGCAUCGGAACGUGCCCUGGAGUGGGGGAUAACGUAGCGAAAGUUACGCUAAUACCGCAUAUUCUGUGAGCAGGAAAGCAGGGGAUCGCAAGACCUUGCGCUCUGGGAGCGGCCGAUGUCGGAUUGGCUAGUUGGUGGGGUAAAGGCCUACCAAGGCGACGAUCCGUAGCGGGUCUGAGAGGAUGAUCCGCCACACUGGGACUGAGACACGGCCCAGACUCCUACGGGAGGCAGCAGUGGGGAAUUUUGGACAAUGGGCGAAAGCCUGAUCCAGCCAUGCCGCGUGAGUGAAGAAGGCCUUCGGGUUGUAAAGCUCUUUCGGUGGGGAAGAAAUUGCAUGGGCUAAUACCCUGUGUAGAUGACGGUACCUGGAGAAGAAGCACCGGCUAACUACGUGCCAGCAGCCGCGGUAAUACGUAGGGUGCGAGCGUUAAUCGGAAUUACUGGGCGUAAAGCGUGCGCAGGCGGUUUGGUAAGUCAGAUGUGAAAUCCCCGGGCUCAACCUGGGAACUGCAUUUGAGACUGCCAAGCUGGAGUUUGGCAGAGGGGGGUGGAAUUCCACGUGUAGCAGUGAAAUGCGUAGAGAUGUGGAGGAACACCGAUGGCGAAGGCAGCCCCCUGGGCAAUACUGACGCUCAUGCACGAAAGCGUGGGGAGCAAACAAGAUUAGAUACCCUGGUAGUCCACGCCCUAAACGAUGUCAACUAGGUGUUGGGAGGGUUAAACCUUUUAGUGCCGUAGCUAACGCGUGAAGUUGACCGCCUGGGGAGUACGGCCGCAAGGCUAAAACUCAAAGGAAUUGACGGGGACCCGCACAAGCGGUGGAUGAUGUGGAUUAAUUCGAUGCAACGCGAAAAACCUUACCUACCCUUGACAUGUCAGGAAUCCCGGAGAGAUUUGGGAGUGCUCGAAAGAGAGCCUGAACACAGGUGCUGCAUGGCUGUCGUCAGCUCGUGUCGUGAGAUGUUGGGUUAAGUCCCGCAACGAGCGCAACCCUUGCCAUUAGUUGCUACGAAAGGGCACUCUAAUGGGACUGCCGGUGACAAACCGGAGGAAGGUGGGGAUGACGUCAAGUCCUCAUGGCCCUUAUGGGUAGGGCUUCACACGUCAUACAAUGGUCGGUACAGAGGGUUGCCAACCCGCGAGGGGGAGCCAAUCCCACAAAGCCGAUCGUAGUCCGGAUCGCAGUCUGCAACUCGACUGCGUGAAGUCGGAAUCGCUAGUAAUCGCGGAUCAGCAUGUCGCGGUGAAUACGUUCCCGGGCCUUGUACACACCGCCCGUCACACCAUGGGAGUAGGUUGCUCCAGAAGUAGUUAGCCUAACCGCAAGGGGGGCGAUUACCACGGAGUGAUCCAUGACUGGGGUGAAGUCGUAACAAGGUAGCCGUAUCGGAAGG
rnacentral:rRNA from 1 species